AACAUGGCUCUUUGAGAUUUAUAUAUAAAGAGUCUGGCCUGCCCAGUGAUGUAUUUUUAACGGCCGCGGUACUCUGACCGUGCGAAGGUAGCAUAAUCAUUUGCCCUAUAAUUGAGGGCUAGUAUGAAUGGUUUGACAUGAGCAUAACUGUCUCCUUAAAAUUUUAUAAAAUUUGGUUUUUAGGUGAAGAAACCUAAAUUAAAUUGAAAGACAAGAAGACCCUAUCGAGCUUUAGAAUAAUUAGUUAAAAAAUAUAAAUAAAACAAUUAAUUUUAAUUAAAAACUUUGGUUGGGGCGACUGAGGAACAUAUAAAGCUUCCUUAAUUAAACAAUGCUGAUAAGCAAUGAUCCAGGAAAUCUGAUUAAAAAAAUUAGUUACCGUAGGGAUAACAGCAUAAUCUUUUUUGAGAGCUCUUAUCGAAAAAAAGGUUUGUGACCUCGAUGUUGGACUAGGAUAUCCUAAAGAUGUAGAAGUCUUUAAUGGUUGCUCUGUUCGAGCAUAAAAAUCCUACGUGAU
rnacentral:rRNA from 1 species